CAUGUGACAGGAAUAUAGUUCGCGUCAACCCCAACUCACUAUUGCACUGCAGGUAUGUAAGCCAGUAGAACGUACCAGAAGUUAUGCUAAACUCAACUGAGGCCCAUCUCUAGCACUGAAGACAGUUCACAGUAUGGUAAGAACUCUAAUGACUAAGGUUCUAUCAUUAAUUCUGUUAUCAAAUCUCAGAUCUGAAAAUUGAGAAGGGGGUAUUAGGCCUAUGGCUGUUGCAAGUCUAUGAUAGAAUCAUAUUCAGUAAUUAAAACAGCUGCUUCAAGAUUGGUUUAAGGUGAUAAGAUAAGUGGCACGAAGAUCAGUUUGUGGAACCACAGCAAUGUCUUUGCCAUGUUGUGAUAGGUUCUACACACGUGUACCUGCGUUUGGCUCCGUGUUCUACACACUGUGUACCUGUGUUCAACUCCGUGUCCGACUGUUGAGUGGACCGGGAUGUCAGAAAUGUGGAUAUUGAAUGUUUCACCAGUUUCAGUGUGACACGUAUUUCUUCGUUUCCUUGGUGAUUGUGAUUAUACCUGUCCUGGAACAAUGGUCUUCCUUUCAUGUCACCAACACCUAUAUCCUGAAGUGUGGUAUUUUCACUCUAAAGUACAAAAGUCCAAAUAGAAAAUAUAAAUGCAUGUCUAUUUGAGGCCAAUCAUAGUAAUAAAUUUGGCAUUUACCUCGAACCAAUGAACAGAUUUUCCUGGUAUUACAGUGGUUGCAUUAUCAGCACAUGGACGGGUAGAUGGGUUCGACAGGUAGAUGGGUUGGGACAGGUAGAUGGGUUCGACAGGUAGAUGGGUUGGGACAGGUAGAUGGGUUCGACAGGUAGAUGGGUUGGGACAGGUAGAUGGGUUCGACAGGUAGAUGGGUUGGGACAGGUAGAUGGGUUCGGACAGGUAGAUGGGUUGGGACAGGUAGAUGGGUUCGACAGGUAGAUGGGUUUGACAGGUAGAUGGGUUGGGACAGGUAGAUGGGUUGGGACAGGUAGAUGGGUUCGACAGGUAGAUGGGUUGGGACAGGUAGAUGGGUUCGACAGGUAGAUGGGUUCGACAGGUAGAUGGGUUGGGACAGGUAGAUGGGUUUGACAGGUAGAUGGGUUGGGACAGGUAGAUGGGUUGGACAGGUAGAUGGGUUCGACAGGUAGAUGGGUUGGGACAGGUAGAUGGGUUCGACAGGUAGAUGGGUUGGGACAGGUAGAUGGGUUUGACAGGUAGAUGGGUUGGGACAGGUAGAUAUUUUUUCAGGGUACUUUUACAUUGGGAUAAUCUUUUGUUUAUUAGUCUUGUUCUUUCAAGUAGUUGUUCAGGUGCAUCUCGCUACAUACAAGGGUUAUAGUCCAGGUGAUCUUGUCAUUUCGAAAAAGUUUGCUAAUAUGUAGAAAGUAUUUUGUUCUUAUUUUCUUUUCAAAAAAUCAUCUAUAUAGUGCUUUGAUGUAAGAGUUUCUGAAAAGAGAAGGAAGAGUACAUAUGUAUAGUAAAAUAGAGAGCUUCCUUAAUGUUGUUUAAUGGCGACUGCAUACUGGCCAUGUGUUCAGUGUGUGAGUGAGUGAAUGGUAUGAGACUUGUUGUACAAGCUGGAAGGUCACCCCUGUUGUACAUACCACCCGUCAUAACUACUGCGGUUAUGUUACCGACUGCGGUUGUGUUACCGGGCUGAAAACAGAUUGUCAUGUUGUUACUCAGGCUUUGGAAGUUCCAACUUCUGGGGGACCAUUUGUGUUAUCCAAAUAAAGAAUGGUGGCUGUGUUUUGAAAUAUUCCUCUAUAUUUGUUUGAGAAACUACAUUGUUGAAAGGGCAAGUGAAUAUGAAUAUCUUAAUGUAGGUUUCAUUUGAUGAAACUUAAGAGCACAGUGUAUGAAGAUGCUUAGUGACACUUAGUGAGUCUGACAACAGUGUUGAACACAGUUCUGCUGCAGUGCAUGUUUUGUGUUGGACACAUUGAUCUAGUGACUAAAACCAUUGUACGUGACAUGCACAGGAAUGCAGUAACCGAUGCAACAGAGGCGGAUACAGCGAUUUGAGAAAGUGGGGGUGCACACUUCAUUUUCACUGGAGUUUCAAUGGUCAUUUAAUAAACUGUCAGGACCAAAUGAGGGGGUGGGAGGUUGCACACCUGCACACACACCCCUCUGGAUCCACCUAUGUGCAAGGACUCCCACCCCCAUUAACCAGUACUUAAACAUCUCAUGAUGUAAUCUAGUGUCCCAAUAAUGAACGUGGUGAACCUAUGUAAUCAAAAGAAUACUGUCUUAAAUAUAUUGGGAAAUACUUUAUUACAAGAAUAAUAUCCAAAACAGCACCUGUCUAUUUAAGUUGGUAUACCAUUAGGCAUGUCAUUUGACAUUGACUGUCAAAUCCAAGGAAGUUAUGAUUUGGAUUACUGUAUAAUGUGCAAUACGUAUGUAGGCAUAUAUGCACAACUGCUGCUUUUUUAAAAUGCACAAUGUACGGAGUGUAGGAGAGGCGUCAAUAGUAUCAGUGUUGAACUAGACCGCGAUUUAUACAAUCAAAUCACGUACGCUGAAUUGUCUGUCACAUCUAUGAAGCAUUCCUCUAUUCAAUGUCUUAGGCUUUCUUUUUCAAACAUCAAUUGUUGAAUUUUCUGUAUCUUUGUCACUGGCGUUUUACUGCUUUGUUCAUUGAUUUCAAAGUUAUUUUAUUGCAACUUUGCGUUUUUAAAUGAAAUAAUAUAAGUAUUUAUAUCUAUGUUAAUUUUGUGGAAUCAUGCAUUUGAUACUAUAUUCUUGUUUCAUAUUUCUCAUGCAUUGCCUUGGCAUAGUAAAAUUUUGUUUUUUUAAUGAAA